rnacentral:misc_RNA from 1 species
AUGCAUAUGCCGCGAACUCGGGUUGGGAAUAUCUCCGCACAUAAGAUGUUGGGGACAGGACCGAAGCCCAUGACGAAGGUGCAGAAGUAGAUGAUGACGCUUACGGUUGAGAGAAUGGCAUGCGCAACAGUUCCCAAGUUGACUACGUUGGAGACUACCAGUACAAUGAGUGAUAAUAUCAGGACUGGGAUCGUGGUUAGGAGUAGAA